rnacentral:rRNA from 1 species
CCUACGAGAGGCAGCAGUGAGGAAUAUUUGUCAAUGGGCGCGAGCCUGAACCAGCCAAGUAGCGUGAAGGAUGACUGCCCUACGGGUUGUAAACUUCUUUUAUAAAGGAAUAAAGUGAGGCCCGUGUGCCUUUUUGUAUGUACUUUAUGAAUAAGGAUCGGCUAACUCCGUGCCAGCAGCCGCGGUAAUACGGAGGAUCCGAGCGUUAUCCGGAUUUAUUGGGUUUAAAGGGAGCGUAGAUGGGUUGUUAAGUCAGUUGUGAAAGUUUGCGGCUCAACCGUAAAAUUGCAAUUGAUACUGGCAGUCUUGAGUACAGUUGAGGGAGGCGGAAUUCGUGGUGUAGCGGUGAAAUGCUUAGAUAUCACGAAGAACGCCGAUUGCGAAGGCAGCUUACUAAACUGCCACUGACAUUGAUGCUCGAAAGUGUGGGUAUCAAACAGGAUUAGAUACCCCGGUAGUC